rnacentral:rRNA from 1 species
AUUGAACGCUGGCGGCAGGCCUAACACAUGCAAGUCGAGCGAGUGGCGGACGGGUGAGUAAUGUCUGGGAAACUGCCUGAUGGAGGGGGAUAACUACUGGAAACGGUAGCUAAUACCGCAUACCAUCAGAUGGACCCAGAUGGGAUUAGCUAGUUGGUGGGGUAACGGCUCACCAAGGCGACGAUCGCUAGCUGGUCUGAGAGGAUGAACAGCCACACUGGAACUGAGACACGUCCCAGACUCCUACGGGAGGCAGCAGUGGGGAAUAUUGCACAAUGGGCGCAAGCCUGAUGUAGCCAUGCCGCGUGUAUGAAGAAGGCCUUCGGGUUGUAAAGUACUUUCAGCGGGGAGGCGUUACCCGCAGAAGAAGCACCGGCUAACUCCGUGCCAGCAGCCGCGGUAAUAC